UUGGCUUUGGGAUCCGUCCAGGGAUUAGUAAAGCCUACUUCUAGGUAUGUCUAGGCGUGGGGGAUUGUAGAGGCAUGGCCUUGGGGCCUGUGCCUGGUCUUUAGCUCCUUAGUUUCUAAUACUAUUUCUCUCUUGUUGUGAUAUCAGCAGCUCUACUCCAUCACAACCUUCUGCCAUGCUGUUUCUGCAUUGGAGCCAGCCAUCCAUGGACUGACUGUCUUUAAAAACUCAAGUGCUUCUGAACACAGGCCCUGGGAUGUACCACAGUUUGCAGAUUGCAGAUCCCUGAAACCAGCCUUGCCACAUUUGGGACCAGGCCAGUGGGAGGGGCAGAGUCCUGCCAUGGCCUAAGGCAGAGCUGCUCCAUGCUCCACUGGGAUGAUCACAGGAAUCAUCAGGCUGUCUACCACCAUCACAAAGAAACAACACGUGCCACUAGCGGAAUAGCUUAUAUUUAAUGAGUUCAGGCUAUUUACUAGAACAAAUCGAGGCACUUUAUAAGGCAUUGUCCUUCCCACCCCUUGAUCUGAAAAGAAUUAAGAAUAAUAAUGCUUACUCAUAUGUA